AGAUAAGGACCAGCAUCUUGGAUCCUCUGAAAUGCUUCUCGCCAUCCUUCCCUUUUCUGAAAAUCUUUUCUCUGGAAGCUUUCCCUCCUCUCCCUGAUUUCAUCACACCAAUCGAUCCAACACAGGGAAAUACCCCAAGAACUGUAGCCUCUGUGCUGGGAUGAAGUUGGUGAAAGAGCAGCCAGAAUGUAGAGGCUGGAGGAGGGAAAAAGGAUUGAAUGCUCAGCAUCCAAUCAGAAAUCAGAUUGCUCCUUGGCUGCCUAGAUAGACCCAUCAGUAACCAAACAAACCUCAUAGAUGGCAAACCAGAAAUACCACCUGGAAAGCCAAAACCUAUGAGUUUACCCCACUUUUCUCCUCAGUCAGUCAGUUUGAAAGUCAGUCAGUCUAUUAGUCCAUUUUUAUAAAAGAGAAAAAACAGACUGUUUCUGUCCCAGAGGAGACACCUAUCGAACAAAAAUGGAGGCCUUGACGCACUUAUUACAGUGCUUUUCAGACAGCAAGGACCUAAUGAAUACAAUGUAAUGAAAAGUCAAAUUCAAUUCUACAAAUUAGAAUAGGCAUCAAAUACUUAAAACAGAAACACAAAAGAAAUAUGCUUUGAAUAGUAUUUGUUAAAUGCUUACUACUACGUGUCAAGCAGUGUUUUAAAGUCCUGUAUAUCUGGCAGAAGCUUUUGGUGCACUCAUUUGCCAGAGUGAUUAGUUUCAGUGGAGGAGACCAUUUAAAUGAGGGCAGGGAUGGAAUCGUGGGGAAACAGGGAAAGGACAUUAGAGGGGCAGUGAAACAUCUUGGAACCACAAAUGUCUUUGAGAGAGAAGCAUAGGAAUCGGGCUGGAUUUUUAAUACAGAGGUGAUUCUUUCUAUCACGUGCAGGCUAUCGGACUGGGGGAGAUUUGGAGAACUAAUUCCUGGAAGAUUCCAAUGAGAUUUAUUUUGAAAUCCAUUCAGAGACUAUGACAAGUCUUCUGUGAAAUCCCCAAACACCAUGGGGCUCCCUCAUUUAGAGAACACAACAACUGUUACAUCUUUCGCCAGCAUCAGUUCCAUGGGGACAUUUUGAGGACACCAACCAAUGUGAUGUGCAGAGUGUUAACUAUCCCAGAACUUAGUACAGUGUUUGACACAUAGUAAGCUCUGAAAAGAUACCAAAAGUGUUCUUGUUCUUGUUAUUAUUAUAAUCCUCUUAGUUAUGAAAGAGCAGAGUGCAUCCUACAAGAAUGGUUUGAGAAAACAUUGCACCUCCUCACUAGAUUCACCACGUGAGAGCAUUAUCGCCCAGUCACGACCCAUUUCUUCCAUAUUCGCAGGAUGUCUGUUGUCGACAAAAUGUUACUUUUUUUUUUUUUUUACCAUACCACUUCCCUGGGUGUCACUAAGAGAGUAUACUGACAGAGCAGAGAUCAGUUAACUAUGGUCUUCCCUCCAGGCUUUCUACUUGUGAUCUUACUGGUUUUGGGGCAGACGGAUGGAGACUCGGUGGAUCAGACGGAAGGCAGCAUAGCCCUUGUUGAAGGGAAAGAGCUCCUUCUCAACUGUACUUACGUAACUAGCGCCUCUUUGUCUAAUCUUUUCUGGUACAUCCAGUUGCCUGGAGAAGGCCCUCAGCCCCUCUUGAAGCACACGUCUGGGAAAGAACAGGAGGUAACUGGAAAUGAUUUUUAUGCCAAAUUCAAUAAAACUGAGAAGUCUUUCCACCUGAGGAAACAAGCCAUCACCGUGGGAGACUCGGCCAUGUACUACUGUGCUGUGAGUGACACAGUGACGGGGGCUGCAGGGGGAGCUGUAACUGUCAUAGUUGGCAAACCAGAAAGCAACGUGGAGAUCAAAAAUACAUGA